rnacentral:rRNA from 1 species
AGUGAACGCUGGCGGUAGGCCUAACACAUGCAAGUCGAACGGCAGCACAGUAAGAGCUUGCUCUUACGGGUGGCGAGUGGCGGACGGGUGAGGAAUACAUCGGAAUCUACUUUUUCGUGGGGGAUAACGUAGGGAAACUUACGCUAAUACCGCAUACGACCUACGGGUGAAAGCAGGGGAUCUUCGGACCUUGCGCGAUUGAAUGAGCCGAUGUCGGAUUAGCUAGUUGGCGGGGUAAAGGCCCACCAAGGCGACGAUCCGUAGCUGGUCUGAGAGGAUGAUCAGCCACACUGGAACUGAGACACGGUACAGACUCCUACGGGAGGCAGCAGUGGGGAAUAUUGGACAAUGGGCGAAAGCCUGAUACAGCCAUACCGCGUGGGUGAAGAAGGACUUAGGGUUGUAAAGCCCUUUUGUUGGGAAAGAAAAGCAGCAGGUUAAUACCCCGCUGUUAUGACGGUACCCAAAGAAUAAGCACCGGCUAACUUCGUG